rfam:Penicillium polonicum strain IBT 4502 PENPOL_contig007, whole genome shotgun sequence.
UCGUAUGAUGACUUUCCCGAUAGGGACAUCUGAUGCAAAUUGCAUAUGAUGUUAUCAGGACAAGAUAUUUUAGUAGAUGCUUCUUGACUAUCUGAAA